rnacentral:rRNA from 1 species
UACGUAGGGGGCAAGCGUUGUCCGGAUUUAUUGGGCGUAAAGAGCUCGUAGGUGGUUCGGUAAGUCGGAUGUGAAAUCUCCAGGCUCAACCUGGAGGGGUCAUUCGAUACUGCCGUGACUAGAGGUCGGUAGGGGAGUGUGGAAUUCAUGGUGUAGCAGUGAAAUGCGUAGAGAUCAUGAGGAAGACCAGUGGCGAAGGCGGGUCUCUGGACAGUUCCUGACACUGAGGCACGAAGGCCAGGGGAGCAAACGGG